rnacentral:misc_RNA from 1 species
GCCCUCUAAUAAUACCCUCGAAAACACUCGGGAGCGUGGUCGCUGGCUGCCAGUGGCCUCAGUAUUUGGCAACUCGUGAGAGCCGCUCAGAGAAGUUGAACUAACGGCACCAGUGUGUAGUUGCUGUGGGUUAUGGCCCAAUCCAAUACUAUUCCUAAUUCUCCUAAGUGCUUCAGCAACUGGUAUAUGAGACAAUCCCCGAGUGACACGCUGCUGUCUAACACUCUCGACUCUAUUUGCUUUUGGCCUUGGUGGUAAUUCGAAAGCAGAGUGGACUUGGUUGGAGCAGUAACUGUUGGCAUUGCCAUAAAUUGGAGUAAUAUUUGCAUCAGUGACCUCUCCCUU